UGGGGUUUCCACUUUGCCUGUACACAAACUCAGGGACUUUGAAAACUUUUCCACCUUCUUUUCAUGCCCUUUUCCAGCCUGGCACCAGACUGUCUGGUUUUCCACACCAAAACAAGGCUGCUGGAGGGGGGGUAUUGCCCCCCUCGAGCACUAUAAAUUGGGGGAGCAGAAGUCAUUGUAUUGAUGAGGGAGGUUUGAGGUGGGUGAGGUAGCAGAGAAGGCACAGUGGGAGCAGAGAAGGACUCAUCCCAGGAACGAGUCUUGCCCCUGAGGGGCACAGCAAUGAGAAUCCAGGGUUUGUGAAGACUGCAGGCUGAUGAAGUAGGGUACAGUGAAGAUGCACCCCACUUCAUGAAGUGGCGAUGUGAUACACUGUGGCGAUGUGCUACACUACACUACACCAUUGGUAAGUGACACCUGGUAACACUUGUCUGUCCCUAGGGCGGGCAUGAAUACAAACUCACCAACUCCCCUCCCCCACUGCCCCGCUGAUCGGCUCUGCAAGGGGAGGGGGGCAUCGGUUAAUUUGCCCAAGGCCGUGCACCAGUAGCAUAAUGUAGUCUCUGGUGGUUCCUGUGGGAAGAAACAAUGCCAGGGUGCCACCACCCUCUCUCCCAUAUUGUUUAAUUCUAAAUGGGGCUAGCUGGGCUCUGCAUGGGUCAGGGGAGGAAGCAUCAGUUAAUUUGCCCAAGGUAAAUCCUCCCUCCCUCUGGUUUAUAGGUCACCUUCCACUGCUAGCAGCACGCCCUCUGGGUGUGACAAGAGGCAGAAAGGAGAAAGGAAGAGAAAGACAGAAAAAUGCUGAAGAGCAGAGAGCAGAAACUUCCUUCAGGAUUUAUUCUGCAAUCUAAUCAUAGCUGACUUUCAUCCUGCCUGAUAUAGACUUAUAAUAUAACAACAGAUCCUCCUCCACUGCUAGUUGCAGGCUGAUCAAUUGUUCCUGUUGGUGUGACCAGAGGCAGAAAAGAAAGGAAGAAAGAAAGAGAAAAUGAAAAGCAUCGACAUCACUUCCUUCAGGAUCAGAAUUAAUUCUCUCAACAACUAUUGCAUUCUAAUCAUAGUUGAAUUUCAUCAGGCCUGGUAUUGACUUAUAAUAUAACAACAGGUAAUGAUAACAGUAGGAGGCAGCUAGCUAUUAAUUCCAAUAGUAGAACAUCCGUAGGAGUUUAUUAGUAAUAUUCAUUAUGGUUUACAAAUGGUUUAUAAUGAUUGAAAUGGUUCAAUUCAUUUCAAAGCAGGUAGAUCUGCCUUAUCACCACCCUGCAGUCAUCACACACAUCCUGGGCCUCCACCGUAUAUAUGUUGCCACUUCCCCUCCCUCUUGGAGACAGAUCCGCCCCAGAUUCCCCUCUUAGAUAUCCCUUUGUUGGGGACAGGUGCUCCUCCAGCAUCCUCCCACCUUAGGGAUGGACACCUUUCAGGGACCCCCCCAGCCCCUCAUCUUGCAUUCCCACCCCCAGCCCCUCAUCCUGCAUUAAGUGCCUGUAAAGGACCAGAACUGACCCCUUGCCUCAUACAAUCGAACUGGAACUAAUCCCUAUUGAAACUCCUGUGGGACUGCUGUUGGAUGUAUAUAUAGAAUUACAAUUACAGUUCGAUUCCUUUCCAUGAGAAAGAAGAUACUUAUGCGCCCACCCUCCCUGCCUCUUUCGCCUGAGGGGAGGGGUGGAAAUGGCCACCUCCUAGUUCCUGAACAUAGUUCCUGAACUUGUAUUGUAACUGGCCACAAAAGCAAGCUGUUCUUGUGAGCUAUUUACAUUGGCAGAGGACUCGGGUCACAUCAGUUGCUGGCCAAGACUUCCCCUCCAUUGCACCCUUGGCACCCUCCCUAGCUCCCUCUUACCCCAUGGCUGGGGGGUCUGAGCACCGUGGUGCUAGCAUACUCCCUCCCAACCAUCUCCUUUGUUGUUGCUGGGGAGCAUCAGGUCCAUUUGCACAAGUCCUCCAGGCCUACAGUCUUCCCUCCCUCCUCCUGCUGGUUACUGGCCAUGUCUUGCAUCAGUACCAGCUGGACAAGUUGUUCAAGUGCAUUUCAUUCACUGCUGCAGAGUUUGCUGCAGAGGGGUUGGGUCUUUUUGGUUGCUGGUGGGAAUUGAAUAGAAUACACCUCAGAAUAUGCCUAGCUUCUGGGUCCUGAACCAGCUUUGAGAUUCACAGAUUCACAGAAUUUUAAGGCUGGAAGGGCCAGGACCGUAAUAGUUGAAUUUAAUCAAGUCUUUUUUACUUUAUAUCUUCCUCCCGUAAAAUCUGAAAAAAAACAUUUUAAGGACUUUUAAUACCUUUUGUUAAUACCUUCUUCUUGGUAAAAAUCAAAGUAUUACAUCUUCCUCUUGUAAAAUCUGAAAAUAUCUUUUUAAUUUUUUAAUAGCUUUUGUUAAAUACCUUCUUCUUGGUUGCUGGCCCAUACCUCCCCUCCAUUGCACCCUUUACACCUUCCCUAGCUCCCUCUUACCUCCUGGCUGGGGGUCUGAGCACCAUGGUGCUAGCAUACUCCCUCCCUUCCACCUCCUUCACGGUUGUUGGCAAGCAUUCCCCGCCCUGGGUGGCCCACUUCUUUAGCAAAAUCUGAAAAUAUCCUUUAAAAUUUUUUAAAUAGCUUUUGUUAAAUACCUUCUUCUUCAUUGCUGGCCAAAGAGCUCCCCAGAGUUUCAUCUCAGCAAGCAACCAAGCACACGUGUCCUGACGUGGCCCCCGCGUUCACUGGCUUUGGCGUGAGCAUCAGCACUUGACAUGUGCCACAAAGCCUUGUUGGUUGCUGGUGCUACAAAUUUGUUUUCCUUCAAUGUUAGCCACGAAGUCCUCUUUGGUUGCUGGUGGGUGGGAAUUGGAUAGAAUAUAGGCUCCCUCUCUAGCAUCUCCUUCAUGGUUACUGGACAUGUCUCAGAAAAUGCAGUGCUGAACUGCAGGACAUCGCUACAGAAAAUCUCCAUAGACCACUGUAGCACAUGUGCCUUUACCAAUCUUGCUACAAAGCUGUGUUCUCCUGGCCAUUCUUCUUCUUGGUUGCUGGCCAAAACCUAUUCACCCCACUUACCCUGUGCCUAUUUUGACACCUCUCCAUUGCACCCAUGUCUCUUUGGAAUCCUCAUACCUUUUUAAGUCUUGUUGUAAUCAAAAUACUACUGACAUCUUCCUCUUGAAAAAUCUGAAAAUAUAAUUUUAAUUUUCUUUAAUAGCUUUUGUUAAAUACCUUCUUCUUGGUUGCUGGCCAGAGACCUCCCCAGAGUUUCACCCUUGACACCUACCUCAGCAAGCAACCAAGCAGACACAUCCCGACAUGACCACCAUGUUGCAGGUAGUAAGCUCUUUGGCCCACUUGCCGCCUUUUGACACCUCUUGGUUGCACCCUUGUAUCUUUGGAAUCCUUUCUGGGAGAAAGCUUCUUGCUGGGCAGUGAGAACACUGCCUGCUUCCCAGCCUUCCCUUGGGAGCCAGGACCACUGCAGUGGCAGGAGCUGAGACUUUGUCACUGGCUUUAACAAUCAUUUUUGCUACAGUGCAGUUUUUCUAACAACUGAAAACUUGCCCUGCCCCUUAUUAUGACAGCUCUCCAUUGCACACUUGUAACUUUGGAAUCCUUGCUGGAGAGAAAGCUUGCUGGCUGGGUAGUAGGCUCUUCGGCCCACUUCUAACCCUCCGCCUGGUUAUUGGAUGUGCCCUUCAUCAGCAGGAGCUGAGACUUGCUGGCUGGCUGGGUAGUAGGCUCUUUGGCCCACUUGUCCCUGUGCUUUAUUAAACCUCUCCUUUGCACACUUGUAACUUCGGAAUCCUUGCUGGGGAAAAAGCUUGCUGGCUGGCUGGGUAGUAGGCUCUUUGGCCCACUUCUAACCCUCUGCCUGGUUACUGGACAUGUCCUUCAUCAGCAGGAGCUGAGGCUUGCUAGCUAGCUGGGUAGUAGGCUCUUCAGCCCACUUGCCCCAGUGCCUUAUUAAACCUCUCUGUUGCAUACUUGUAACUUUGGAAUCAGUACCAGGCUUUGCAUCAGUUUCAGGCUUGUUCACAGUUUGGCACAAGCAACACCUCUCCGUUCCUUAAUGUCAAAUCAAAAAUUCUUCUUGGUUGUUGGAAAAGACUUUCCCUCUGUGAUGCUCAUUGACUACUGUAGCACGUGUGCUUUUAAAAAUAAUUCUUGCUAUAGUACUUUAUGGGGAUUAUUUUAGAUUAGGCCACUGAUAUAGACCUGAGAGGGCCUCCUUUGGCUGGGCCCCCUUCCCCCCCGGCCCUGCUUUCAGUAACCAGGAAGGUGGUGCAGGAUGCCUCCUUCCCUCCACCCCUUUCUCCCACCUACCCACCCACCUGGGGGCUCUCUCCAUCCCUCCCUAAGCUUUGUGCCCAGCAAAGUUUCCAAAGGUGCAAUGCAACAAGAGGUCCCCCAAUAGUUAGGGGGGCCCUCCAUAACUAAACUUUGUUGGGUGGGUGGGUUGCUUGGUCUUGCAAGAAAAUACUAGCACUAGCUAAGCCAGUGCCAAUACAAGCACUUGCAAACAUACUAGCACUAGCCAAGCAUUUGACCUCCUCCAUCUAAAAGCAGUCCAGCCUGCAACUUUCCAGUAAUGGACUCUAUAAAAGUCACGGGGUCAUUAGUAACCAGACCAGUAGGAAUGGCCAGUAACCAGGCUGGCUGCCUGCCUGGCUGCCUGCCUGCCUGCCUAUCUCCAUCCCAUCUCUCCCUCUCACCCUCCCACCAUACAGCCCUCCAUCCAUCCAUAUCCACAGAAGGGACAUGGGAGCAUAAUUGUGAAUUUGUGUUUUAUACUAUGCAUGUCUGUACUGUAAAUUGUAUUGCAAUUUCUCAGUGGAAUUGAUUGCAAUUCAAUUUAUUGUGAAAAUAAAAUAAAGAUGGGGAAGAAAAAAUA